GUUUCUAGCAACCUUAAAAUCUUUAGGUCAUUUGUAUUCAUGAAUUACAUUCCUAUACCAUUAAUACCACCUAGUGAUAAUUGUAUCAGUACUUUACAAUCAUAGUAUUUAAUUUGUAUAUUCAGUAGGCUCUAACUACCUGAAAUAUAUCAACACUACUUAUAAGACUCAUUCAAAGAAUGUGUUAUCAACCAUGAAGUUCUAUAAUAAUUCUUCAAAUAAUGUUCAUGGUGUUGACAAUACUUAUUGUCCUA